GUGGGGACGCCCUGUGAUCCACAGACACCUCGUCUCUGUCCCUCCAUCCCCUGCCGGCCUGAGAGGCCCUUCCCUGGCUCAGAGUCCCUCUGUGGGGUGUCCUGUGGGGCUGGCACUGCCCAGGCACCUGUGUCCCCACACGCUGGUGGCACUGACCCCAAACGACCCAAUCCUCCUUUUCAUGGACUUCCCUCACACGCCCCAAACGACCCUAUCCUCCUUUUCAUGGACUUCCCUCACAGGCCCUAAACGACCCAAUCCUCCUUUUCAUGGACUUCCCUCACAGGCCCUGAACAUCCCAAUGCUCCUUUUCAUGGACUUCCCUCACAGGCCCCAAAUAUUUUUGUCUUUGCACAGGGCCCACAGUAAGUUAUAGACAAAGAGAACCAGUCUGAAUGUCCUGGGAGGUGUGUGGGGCUCUCUGCUGGCACUGCCAAGGCUGAGGCACUGCUGGGGUGGUGAGCUGACCCCUCUGUGUUCCGGGGCUGGCCAUGAGGUGCUGGGCUGGGCUCCGUGCUUCCAGCAGGAAAUCAUCUGAGAGAAUAGAUGGAGUCCAGUCUGUUGAGGCUUUGGUGAAGGCUGGGUGUGGCCUCAGGGAAAGGAAAGCAUUCCUUAGUUGAACAGGAUGGCAAGGUGAAUUGUUACUCAAAGAGCUGCGGCCAGAUUUACUAUCUACAACUGAACACAAAAUGGAAAUGCAAAUGAGUUUAUUCUAGUUUUCUCUUGGGGCAAAAUGCCCUCCAAGGUCAACCAGCAUGAUGUGCAUAAGGAUCUGGUUUCUUGGAAGUCUCAGUAUUUAUAGCUUCUAUUGCCUUUAGCAGAAGCUGUGGAGGUACUGGAAGGUGCUCUGAGGUUUCCCUGGAGCCUUUUUCCUGCAGUCUCAACCACAACUCAGUCAGCCAGUCUUCACAGGAGAGACCCUUCAGCUCUCUGAUCAUCUUCAGGGACAAAGUUCAAAUGACAGCUGUUUAGAGGUACCAAGGUUUCAUUAUGGAUGUGUUGCUUUUGCUUCAAUGGUAAUGAAUAUGUGGUUUUGUUAAAUCCAGAUCUUGUUUUGGUUCAGGAUUUCACAUGAAGUUGCCUGGAUGCUGCAUUUUGGAGGGGAUAGAUUUCAUGUUUAAGUUAAUAACAAUUUUCACACUGUGAUCCAUUUCACUGAAGUGGUCAUUGUGACUUGUUAGAAUUGUAUUUAUGUUUAUGUUUGCAUGGUAAGUACUGCAAAUUCAGCGGUCUUUGCUGGAAUUAAUCACAUGUACACGCCAAUUUACUUUCUGGAUUUGGAAUUAAGGUGGAUCUGCAUGAAACAUGAUGAUUUUGUUUGUAAGUAUUUUUUGGUAAACGUUUCCAUCAGUUAUAACUCAUGCAGUGAGAUGCCAUCUGGGAGGUCUGCCAGGUUUCUGCAGUUGGCAGACCUGUUGUGUGUUACGGUGGCACUGCUGCUCCUCUGGCUGAACCAGCAGGGAGUGCUUCACUCUUGCCAGAUGCUGGUGCACUUACUGUCACACUGGGCUUGUGGACAAAGCAGUGCACAAAAUUUCUAGGUGGAAGCAAAGACUGCAUGUGGAUCUAAGAGACCAAACUUCAUGGAGCUUCAUUUUUAGUAUUGGAUAUUGGGAAGCAGAAUGAAGAUGAACUGUACUUUUGUUUGCUUGUUGUUCUUAAAAACUAUUUUCAGGAGUAGAAACUUCUAUUUCCAUGGAUAGGAAACUUCUACAAGAUAGAGCUGUUAUUGAAUGCAGUAUUAACAAACACAUAUUAUGCCCCAGCAUUAUUGACACCAAGUCAGCUGUGUGUUUGAAUGAUGUUUCAAGUGAAAGAUGCAAUGUUACAACUGCUGUAACUUCCUUGUUUUAGGCAGAAUUUUGAAACAGCUGUAAUGCUUAAUAUAGUCUAAAUAUAGUCUAAAUACAGUUUUAAUUGUAGGGUCAAGUAAAAUUUUAUGCAUAAGGUAUUUAACAUGACCAGCUAUCUCACUUAGAACUACUUUGUGAAUCUGGAAUGCUUUGUUUUGGCAAUGAGAAUACCUUGGUAGUGUUAUUAAGAAUUUGGUAAUUCCUACUUUAGGUGCACAUCCAAUAAAUUACUGUAAAUAUUGUCCUUUAUAUACUUUUCAAAGUUUCUUUGAUUUUUAGUGUUAUGUGUCUCCUGGAAUUAUUUUCUUUGUCAAAGAGAAAAGUUUUGUUUACAUGCAUUGCAUGUCUUCAUAGUAUGUGUAGUGAAAUAAAAGGCAAGAUUAGAUUAGUGCAGUUUUAUUUAGUACAUGAUACAUCUAUGACUCUAUAGGUCUUGAAGUUGUAUCUUUUCUACUAAGAUGAAGCUGCACAAAAACAACCCUCACCCCCAAGGAAAAGAAAAAAAAAUCCCCAAAAUCAGCUUUCCCCUUUUUAUUUAUAAUGAGCUUUACACUGCUAAUGCAGAGUUAAGAUUGCUUAGGAUCUGGUCACAAAGACUGUUUCUGUUUAAUGAGGUAUGUGAGUGUUGGAAGAAUUGUGAAACAUUAGACUGCAGUUUCCAUAGAUGUUAAUUUGACAUUUUUACAGGAGUAUUUUUUUUUGCUUGUCUAUAUCAAACGGAUCUGUAAUUAAGUAAUUAUUUUGUUUUAGAACUUCAUUUGCUUCAAUACAUUCUGGUUUCUAUAUGGUCUCUUGUAAAGCUCAUAUCAAGGUUGCUGCAUUCAGAUAGUUUGAGCAUCAUUGUUUUACCAGUUCUACUGGUUUCUUCACAUGUCUUGCAACUUCAUGGGUUUUCCUCCUUGUAUUAACUUCAGGAAACCUAAGAUCAUGAAAGCUGAGUUUCUUACAAUAAGAGGGCAAAUUAAAUUGGCAGAUCAGUGUUUGCUGCUAAAGUUGCAAAGGUUUCCCAGGUGAUACAUGAUUAAUGUCAUCCUGAAUGGCUCAGACUUUCAAUUUUCUAAGUAGAAUGAUCUUUAAAAUGUGCUGGCUGGCAACUGGAUCAUAGUGGAAUAAUGUUUCCCAUAAGAGUAUUUCCAUAAAUGCAAAAAUAAAUAAUACUAGGGAGAUUGCUCCUGCAUUGCACUGUCCCCUCUUCCUGCCCCAGUUCACUCUGUGGGACCUAUUUCAAAAUUUCUUCUCUUAUAUUAUGUGUAUGUAGAAGGGAUCUGACAUUUUUCCUACAAAAAACAGUAGUAAAAAAAUAAAAGUGUACUUGUAUUUAUUUCAAUAUUGAAACUGCAUAAUCAGGUCUGUGUAAAACCGUAUUUACAGCUGUUUGGCAAAUGGAUGAAGGAAGUUUGCAGCCUAAGAAACAAACUGUACAGACAUAGCCCUCCAUUAAGAGUUGCUUAUGUGAGUGUAUCAGAUUUCCUGGAAUGUCAACCACAUUAAAAAAAAAGUAUUUGAUAUGCUGUAAAUCUCAUUAAAGCACUGAAAUGAACCCAGGUAUUUUUUUUUUAUAUUUUCUUCUACUUAGUAACAUUUGUAACAGUACUUUCAAAUGUAUGGCUUCUUUCUGUGUAUUUUUGCAUGGUAAGGAGAAAAUUUGAAUACUUGUUAUUAUAAUUUAUUUCUUGCAACAAUAUACUUAAAAGUUGUUGUGUCAUUCAGACCCCUUCUAAUGAUGCUGAAUACACAUCAAUAUACAACAUGAAGAUGCAAAGUGUAAUUUUAGAGGUUCUAAUUACAUUUUGAAUUCAAAGCACAUUGCAAAAAUUAUUUGAAUGUUUUCAAGAAAGUCGAAAAUCCUACAACUGUUCCACUUCUACUAAAUCCCUGCUCCUCUGAAACCAAGAAAAUGAAUAUUCAAUAUUUUUUUUCCAUGUGAGUCCCUUGACAUCCUAUUGAUUCACUUUAUUUUUCCCAACAAUUUCUGACAGAUUUCCCAAUGUGGAUUACUUAUGUGCUUUGAUAUUCAUUUUGUGACUGCCUUUGAAAAGCACAUAAAAUUAGAACUGCAGCACUACCUGCUCACUGGAGCUAAAAAACCAGUGAGCACAACCCUUGGCAUCACUGUGUUCACUACCACUGGUGUGUACAAUCCAACAUGCUGAGUAUUAGCUGAUGGCAGAAAGUGUUGAAGAUGUAUGAGUUAAAGAAUUCAUUUGCUUAUGACAACAUUAGUCAAAAAAAUAUGACAUCUUAAAAAGCAUGCUUCUUCCAAGUUUCUUCUCUGCAUGGUAUAUUUCAGUUCUGUUUACUCAGGACACUGACUAGCUCUUUGGGUAGAGCUGGCCUUUGUCCAUUGCUUGAUCCCUUUUUGAUAAGGGAUUCCUUUCUUGUGGAACUUCUGUUAUAUUACUCUUAGACAUGGAAAGGUGCAUGUAAAUUCUGAAAAUUCAUGAAGCUGGCCAGUUCUUGCCUUGAUACUGG